GGAUGCGAGCGUUAUCCGGAAUUAUUGGGCGUAAAGAGCUCGUAGGCGGUUUGUCACGUCUGCUGUGAAAACUGGAGGCUCAACCUCCAGCCUGCAGUGGGUACGGGCAGACUAGAGUGCGGUAGGGGAGAUUGGAAUUCCUGGUGUAGCGGUGGAAUGCGCAGAUAUCAGGAGGAACACCGAUGGCGAAGGCAGAUCUCUGGGCCGUAACUGACGCUGAGGAGCGAAAGCAUGGGGAGCGAACAGG
rnacentral:rRNA from 1 species